GUUCGUCUUGGGUGGCCCUGCACAGCAUAGCUCAUAGCUUCAUUGAGUUAUGCAAGUCCCUUCCCCAGGACAAGGCAGUAAUCCACGAAGGGGAUUUUUUUUGUAUUGAGCAUACAAAAAGCCUUAUUGUGAAACCCAAACCCAGAGUGCCAAGGAGAUGAGCGGGGGGGGGCCUUGGGUAAAUCCUCGGAGAUCCAGAACCAGGCAUGUUUAGCGGAAAGAAGAGAAGGCCGAGGGAGGGAGGGAGAGGGCUGGGUUCCUCCCCUUCCUCCUCUGUUCCCACUGCCCAGCCAGCCUGCCCCAGGAGGGCAGCGGCUAGAUGGGGGGAGGGGGGAGCCAGCAGUCUGGUGUCCUUGGUGGCUCCUGGAACAAGGUCUAGGAGAAGUGGCCACUCAAGGAUCAUUGGGUGUCUGCUCAGCCAGAAAGAAAACAAUGGGGAGAUCUUUCUACUUUGGGGGGUUGAGGGUCAGAAAUAGGAAGGAGCCGAUUCCUGGGACGUUUUCAGCAAGCGAGAGAAGAGGGUCAACCGAAAGGGAAAAAGCCUUGUUUAAAGCGAGGCUGCUGCGGAUUCCGACGUUAAGAGGAGGGGAGGCUGAGACCCUCAACCGACACACCUGAUGGGGAGGGAAUAUCUCCGCUUUCUCACCUCCCGCUUCCAGGACAACUUUCUUCAGGGGGCGCUUUGCAUUCUGUUCUUCGCUCGCUCUGGGGGUUUUCGGAGAAAUGGCCACCCCCCCCUCCGCCUCCUCUCCCAGGUGGACUGCAGCCACUGCGGGGGGGUGGGGGGGAUUUGCCUCCCUUCGGGAAGGGCGAGGAGUAACGCGGCCAACGGAACCGGGGAUUUGGAGCCAGGCUUAGCGGGGAGCGGAUUCUCUGAGCGCAGCAGCCCCGCCCUUCGCCCCGCAGAGCGGCGGAUUUCGCCAGAAACGGAGAAAUAUUUCCCGGGCCGGAAUGGGACCGCUGAACCCGGCUGCCUUCACGUGCCCACUUCUUCUCGGGCGCCGCACCGCGGCUCACCCCAGGCAAUAUGGAGGCAGAGUCUCUACCUGUUGGACAGUUAGCCCGGUGACCUGUUUCCUCCCCCAUCCCGCUCUCCUUUAGUGCUCCCUGACCGGCAGCUGAAAGAAUGACCUCCACUGUGGAAGUCAACAGAAUCCACCUCCGUCUUUUCGGGACAGUGUGUGGUGGACGAGAACGGAAAGGAGCAACUGAAGACAACCUGGCUGUUGCGUGCGAAGAUGGGAUCCGCAGCAGAGGAUUGGGGGGCGACCCGCAUUGCCAAGGACACCUUCUACGGCACCUAGUGAAUGUGAAGAGAGCAAGGCUUCCCCUCAAAAAUGUUUCCUCCCCCCGCCGGGGAAUCCAGGUUCGAGGGCACCCCUCCCUCUGGGUGCUCUACAUCCAGCAGACCGUGCAAAGCCUUCCGCAUUGCCAAGGACACCUUCUACCGCACCUAGUGAAGGUGAAGAGAGAAAGUCUUCCCCAUUUCUGCCUUGGGGACCAUGGCGGGGAGUUGACCCUUCCUACUGCUCCCAUCAGAUGCUCUUCUCCAAUGAAAUGUUUGCCUGAGCGGCAUCGGCCUCGCUGGUCUUUCAGAAGCUCCCUGGGUACCAGACUGAAAGUUUCCAAGAGAGGCUGGAUAGGACCCCCAUCUGGAGUGGGGGCUCAAAGCUAGCUCUGGUCCUCCCUGAUCGGCACCUGGAAGAAUGACCUCAACUCCACCACGGAGACCAACAGCGUCAGUAACAAGGGGAUGUCCAGCGGCGUCUACGAAAUGGCAGUCUCGGCCUCCGACAAUCCCAUCCGGCCAUCCCUGCUGCAGAUCAUCCAGCGCCAGGAUCCCGGGCCUGUCUUUGGCUUCACCAUCAUCUUUAACCUCUCUGCGAGUUUCAGGCCACUAUCUGGUGAACAAGAAGGGAAUGGAACAGCUGAAGACAACCUGGCUACUGCAGAGGGAGGUGGAAUCCGCGCCAGAAGAUUGGGGGGCGCCCAGCGUUGGAGCCAGCACCUUCUACCGCAGCAAGUGAGAGGGUGAAGAGAGUAAGGCUUCCGCGUUUGUGUCAUGGGGGGUGACCCCCCCCAACCUCACCCAUCAGAUGCUCUUCUCCAAUAAAAUGUUUCCCUGAG